GCUUCUUAAAGUAGCAUCUGGAGAAGGCUGCCAAGUUUAUGUCCCUCCAAAAUUCAUGUUUUGAAAUGCUUACCCACAAUGUGAUGGGAUUAAGAGGUGAUUAGGUUAUAAAGGUGGAGCCCUCAAGAAUGGGAUUAGUGCCCUUAAAAAAGGGAGACCCAAAGAGUGCUCAUCCUUUCCCUACUAUAAGGAUACAAUAAGAAGUAACCUGGAAGAUGGCCCUCACCGGAGCCCGACUGUGGUGUCAUCCUGAUAUCACAAUUCCAGCCUCCGGUCCUGUGAGAAAUGAAUGUCUGUGGUUCAUAAGCCACCAGUCUGUGGUUCCUUGUUUUAGGAGCCUGAGUGAGGAAGACUGUGUCCUUUGUGCUGUGGGUUGUGGAGCUGGAUUGUUUCAGUGAAAGAAACUAUCUAAGGCACAGCUGACUCUGCCAUCCAACAUGGCAGUAAAUUCUGGCCAUUCAUUAGGACAGCGUGAGUUGGCACAGGAGGUUAUAUAAUAAAACAAGCCCGAGAGCAGCGUCUCCUUGAAUACAAAGGAAAACGAUACACAGUGAACAAAUGAAAUGUAGACAUGCUUAGCAUAGGAUAAUUGGACCAAUGCUACAUCAAAGGAUGAUGUUCUCUUCCACAAAGAGGAGAGGUGAGUAGUGAAUCUCAGGUCAGCAGCCCGCUG
rnacentral:lncRNA from 1 species